GUAGGUUCUCUACAGACAAAUCUCCUUAAACUAUGAAUGCGAUCCCGACUUCAUCCGCCAUGGUGACUUUAUCAUGUGACUUACGACGUUACAAGAGCAACAUCAACUUAAAAGAUAUGAGCCACAGGCUUAUAACAACAACAAAUGAUUUUUUUUUGAUGCAUUAUGACUAUAUGAAUAUUAUUCAAAUAUAUUUACCCUUGUAACUGUGCCUUUUUUGCUGUGUGUAUAUUCUCAUACUAUGCAAACCCAUUAUAUUUAUGUUUUCUAUUAUGAUUGUUCAUUGUUAAAGAUAGAACCAUCUUUCCCUGAGCUUAAAUGUAAUUAUAAGGUCUGCAGUAAUAAUAAUAAUAAGCAUCAAUAGCAUCAGUAACUCCACAACCCUACAUAGUACAGUUUUCUGCAGCGUUUGCAAUAUCUGCACAAAGGAGACGUCGAUCAGCUGCUGGAAGAUCUUGACUUUGGAGAAGAAUGCUGAUAUUAUACUUGAAAAAUACGGUGAACCCACAUCCUACUGCAUCUCAACACAGCUUUAUUCUGAUGAAGCAGCUGACCACCGUGUCCACCUUCACCUGUCUCUGCCGUCCAUCACACCCCUCACUGCUCCUGUCAGACUGAAUCUGAUCAUGGAUGG